AUGGCCGAUAAGAAGGGUUCCACUAGUAGGCAGCGACGAGCAACCGGCGGUUUUUCGCUGAGGCCGUGCACCACCACCGAACAACAUAUGUCGGCGGCGACCGGCGGAAAGGGCGAUCUUUCGCUCAGGCCGUGCACCACCACAAAACAUCAUAUUCUGGUGGAGGACGCGCCGGAGGAUGAGGUGACCGGCGGGGAAGUUCCGCUGAAGGCAUGCCCCGCCAAAAGGAAGUCGGCCGGGGUAUGCGAGGCGCUGAACAUGUUCCCGGCGCAGGCGGCGGCGUCCUCGGGGCAGCGGAGGGCCGUCGAUUGGGCGGGCCGACCCACCAUGGCGGUCGACCUAGUAGAAGACGAAGCAGAGCUGCGGCGGAGAAUCAAAGCAACCCUGCUAACCUUCCCCGAGUCGAAGGCGUUGCCUGCGCAGCAGUUGGAAGUGGCAAUUGACAGGAUCGUGGAGGAGUCCAAGCCCGAGGCGGCCUCCGUCGCCGCCCCAGGCAUGGUUCGGAUGAGUGACUUCGACAUACGCUUCUUCUUGUCCCUCCCGAUGGUCCCCACCGUCGACGAAAUCCUGGGCGCCGACGCCGGCGGGGUGUUCCCUCUAGGGUGGAUCCAUGAAAGGAAGAAGUUCCUUGAUGAGCAUUGUCAGGUCAAGAACAGGAAGGACGGAGACAAAGUCGGGCUCAUGGACAAGAUCCGCGUCGAUUUGCUCACUAGGGGCUACGUCGAGGUCCAGAAAGAAUAUGUGGAGUUGGGCUCUGAUGAUGAGGAGGACUCGGACGAUGAUGAUUGUCCCUAUGAACCAUACGAUGAGAACAACCCUGGAGGUGUGGUCCUGCUCAUCUGA
rnacentral:rRNA from 1 species